ACAUGGCCACAUGAUUCAAAACCGUGUAUACGAACGGUAGAACACCUUCAAUAAACACUAGUUAUGGUGGGGGUUGAUGAAAUUCACUCGAGAUAACCUGUUGAAACUUGAAAGUUCAGUUGUCCAAACUCAGGAUGGAGACUUCCUCACCAUUUACCGAGGAAUUCAGUUGAACAAAUUUUUUUUCAGUUCCAAAAUUCAAAACGCGUGACAUUGUAUUGUAGAAUUUUCCAUUUAAAACCAUAAGAAAAAAAUAAUAAUAAUUAUCAUUAACAACACAGCUAUACAUAACUUGUAAUGAAUGGUACGGGACUACAAACCAAAACUGAGGAA
rnacentral:misc_RNA from 1 species